CUCCAAAUUACAAAAAAAACUUUUGUUUCUUUAAAAUGAUGCCUAUAUCCUUUUUGGGUUCCUUGCAUAGUAUCUUCAUUUUCUAUAAUACCGUAUGCAUCCUUCUUUUAUUUAAAUUUUAUUUUAAGUCCAAUUUUCUUCAAACUUGAGUCUUUUUUAUCUGCAAAUCAGACUCUUUGUAUCGGCGAUCACCUUUCCUAUAAAACAUAAAAAG
rnacentral:lncRNA from 1 species